rnacentral:rRNA from 1 species
AGUUUGAUCCUGGCUCAGAAUAAACGUUGGCGGUGCGCCUUAUGCAUGCAAGUCGAACGGGGUUACAGUCUUCGGAUUGUAACCUAGUGGCGGACGGCUGAGUAACGCGUAAGUAACCUGCCUUAGAGUGGGAAAUAACUUGCCGAAAGGCAAGCUAAUGUCCCAUGUGGUAACGAAGCAAAUGCUUUGUUAUUAAAGCCUUAGGGUGCUCGAAGAGGGACUUGCGUCUGAUUAGCUAGUUGGUAGGGUAAUGGCCUACCAAGGCGAUGAUCAGUAGCUGGUCUGAGAGGAUGGUCAGCCAGAUGGGGACUGAGACACGGCCCCAACUCCUACGGGAGGCAGCAGCAAGGAAUCUUGGGCAAUGAGCGAAAGCUUGACCCAGCGACACCGCGUGAGGGAUGAAGGCCUUCGGGUUGUAAACCUCUUUUCUUGGGGAAGAAUUCUGACGGUACCCAAGGAAUAAGCCUCGGCUAACUACGUGCCAGCAGCCGCGGUAAGACGUAGGAGGCGAACGUUAUUCGGAUUUACUGGGCGUAAAGGGAGCGUAGGCGGUUCCUUAAGUCAGAUGUGAAAUCUUCUGAUUCAAUCAGAAGGCGUCAUUUGAUACUGAGGGACUUGAGAGCAACAGAGGGAAAUGGAAUCCCCAGUGUAGCGGUGAAAUGCGUAGAUAUUGGGGAGAACACCAGUGGCGAAGGCGAUUUCCCAGGUUGUUUCUGACGCUGAGGCUCGAAAGCGUGGGGAGCGAAGCGGAUUAGAUACCCGCGUAGUCCACGCCGUAAACGGUGGACACUAGAUAUGGGGAGUAUCGACCCUUUCCGUGUCGAAGCUAACGCCUUAAGUGUCCCGCCUGGGGAGUACGGCCGCAAGGCUAAAACUCAAAGGAAUUGACGGGGGACCGCACAAGCAGCGGAGCGUGUGGUUUAAUUCGAUGCUACACGAAGAACCUUACCAGGACUUGACAUGGCAGAAGUAGGAAUCCGAAAGGAGGACGACCUGUAUCCAGUCAGGAGUUGUCACAGGUGCUGCAUGGCUGUCGUCAGUUCGUGCCGUGAGGUGUUGGGUUAAGUCCCGCAACGAGCGCAACCCUUGUCCUAUGUU